rnacentral:tRNA from 1 species
GCCUAGCUGGCUCAGUCGGUAGAGCAUGCAACUCUUGAUCUUGGGGUUGUGUGUUUGAGCCCCACGUUGGGUA